rnacentral:rRNA from 1 species
UUUUAACAACGGAUCUCUUGGUUCUGGCAUCGAUGAAGAACGCAGCGAAAUGCGAUAAGUAAUGUGAAUUGCAGAAUUCAGUGAAUCAUCGAAUCUUUGAACGCACAUUGCGCCCUCUGGUAUUCCGGAGGGCAUGCCUGUUCGAGCGUCGCAAAU